AUCUCAGGGAGACAGACACCGGGACCAGCAGAAGAGGGACCACACAGCGAAACCCUGCACAGAGUUUGUGAAGCGGUUCUCUGGAUUUGGCCUAUCUUGAGGAUGAAGGUGGAGGCUGUUGGGUAGGUGGUGUUGUCGGGCUGGGUGGGGGAUGAUGGAGGUUGGAGGUUGGAGGUUGGAGGUUGGAGGCUGGCGUUUAGUGAGUGGUGCGGUAACGGAACCCAUAAUACAGCUGUGGUUGUGCACAGCAGCUGGUUAUGGCGUCCGUUUCCCUCCCACUUCACAGAGGGCGCCGUUGUCAGGACGACCAUUGCCGGAACAACCGCUGUCUCCUCCUCACAGAACAGAACCCCUCAAAGACGACCGACCAUUUAUACAUUCCUACAUUUUAGGUCAGCUCACUGUAUUUAAAUGUACAUUUGGUAAAUAUGUUAUUCAAUUUCAUUUAAAGUUAUAAAAAAAAUGCAUAUUAUCACUUUAUUACUGUUUUAAACUAUUAUGGCUAUUGUGUUCUAUAAUAGUAACAUUUUUUUUUACUAUUGUGUCUGACGUGAGAUGCUAUAAUGCCUUAAUUUCCUCUCAGGUAUGAAUAAAGCACAUUUCGUCCGACACACACACUUUUUUUUUGUCAUUUUAUGUGUGUUAUUGUUGGGUCGUUCAACGGUGACCUGGGAAGCCUGAUCUAAUCCUAAAUGAGAUAGUAUUCCAUCUAAUUUAUAGGGCUACAGCAAAGAGCCUCCAAUAGCUUUGUUGUUUUCUUUAUUUAAUGUAAAGCUAAAUGUAAAUUGCAUUGAAUUGUUAAUUAAUGUAUUAUUCAGAUAUUCUUAUUCAUAUUUGUAAAACCGACUGAGCUGCUUUUAAGCAAAAGUCUAACGAUUUAUGUCCAACGACAUUUUAAACACAAAACAAAGAACUGACGACUGCUUUAAUAGACCGCAUUGGACGACGUUUCUCCGUAAUAAUGAAGUUAUUAGAGUUUCUACUUGCAGAGGUUGCUCUUCAAUGACACGUUUUCUCCCGGAUUGCGAAACGCACGAGCGGCAACCGGGAAUCUCGUGUCAGCUAAGAAUGACGUCACUAACCACAACAGAAAUAUGCUGUGCUGAAAUGCAGGGCGGCCUGUUACAAGGUUUGAACAUCCACUUCAACAACAAUACUAAUUUUAAUAUCACAAAAAAAACAACAUAAAGGGCAGGCUUAAUGUCUAUAUAUUUCUUUCUCGUUUUUUUGAAUGUUCCUUUAAUUUCUUAGCUGUCUCUUACCAAGUUGUUAAUACAUUAAUACUCUGUACUUUCUUUUAAAAUAUUGCAUCACUUUUUAGAUUAUUUGAUUAUAUUGUGAAUAAAAAUGUGUUGCAAAUCAAAAA
ensembl:lncRNA